ACGGGAGGCAGCAGUGGGGGAUAUUGCACAAUGGGGGAAACCCUGAUGCAGCAACGCCGCGUGAGGGAGGACGGUUUUCGGAUUGUAAACCUUUGUCUUUGGUGACGAAACAAAUGACGGUAACCAAGGAGGAAGCCACGGCUAACUACGUGCCAGCAGCCGCGGUAAUACGUAGGUGGCGAGCGUUGUCCGGAAUUACUGGGUGUAAAGGGAGCGCAGGCGGGGAGGCAAGUCAGCUGUGAAAACCACGGGCUUAACCUGUGGACUGCAGUUGAAACUGUCACUCUUGAGAGAAGUAGAGGUAGGCGGAAUUCCGAGUGUAGCGGUGAAAUGCGUAGAUAUUCGGAGGAACACCGGUGGCGAAGGCGGCCUACUGGGCUUCAACUGACGCUGAGGCUCGAAGGCGUGGGGAGCAAACAGGAUUAGAUACCCUGGUA
rnacentral:rRNA from 1 species